GAUGAAGAACGCAGCGAAAUGCGAUAAGUAAUGCGAAUUGCAGAAUCCGUGAGUCAUCGAAUCUUUGAACGCACAUUGCGCCCUUUGGUAUUCCGAAGGGCAUGCCUGUUCGAGCGUCAUUAUCACCACUCAAGCCCGGCUUGCUGUUGGUGGCAGCGCAGCCGGUCAACCGGCUACGCUCCACCCAAAGAUAAUGACGGCGUCUGCGAGGACUCCUGUACAUUGAGCUUUCGGGCACGUACAUGGCUAGAAGUCCAGGCGCCGGUCGACGUCCUCCGGGACACUUUUUACCAAGGUUGACCUCGGAUCAGGUAGGGAUACCCGCUGAACUUAAGCAUACCAAUAAGCGGAGGA
rnacentral:misc_RNA from 1 species